CCUACGGGUGGCAGCAGUGAGGAAUAUUGGUCAAUGGACGAGAGUCUGAACCAGCCAAGUAGCGUGAAGGAUGAAUGCCCUAUGGGUUGUAAACUUCUUUUAUAUGGGAAUAAAAUGUUCCACGUGUGGGAUUUUGUAUGUACCAUAUGAAUAAGGAUCGGCUAACUCCGUGCCAGCAGCCGCGGUAAUACGGAGGAUCCGAGCGUUAUCCGGAUUUAUUGGGUUUAAAGGGAGCGUAGGUGGAUUGUUAAGUCAGUUGUGAAAGUUUGCGGCUCAACCGUAAAAUUGCAGUUGAAACUGGCAGUCUUGAGUACAGUAGAGGUGAGCGGAAUUCGUGGUGUAGCGGUGAAAUGCUUAGAUAUCACGAAGAACUCCGAUUGCGAAGGCAGUUCACUGGACUGCAACUGACACUGAGGCUCGAAAGUGUGGGUAUCAAACAGGAUUAGAUACCCGGGUAGUC
rnacentral:rRNA from 1 species